UACGGGGGGAGCAAGCGUUGUUCGGAUUUACUGGGCGUAAAGGGCGCGUAGGCGGCCACCGCAAGUCGACUGUGAAAUCUCCGGGCUUAACUCGGAACGGUCAACUGAUACUGUCGGACUAGAGUGCAGAAGGGGCAACUGGAAUUCUCGGUGUAGCGGUGAAAUGCGUAGAUAUCGAGAGGAACACCUGCGGCGAAGGCGGGUUGCUGGGCUGACACUGACGCUGAGGCGCGAAAGCCAGGGGAGCAAACGGG
rnacentral:rRNA from 1 species